AAGCAGCUCUUUUGUCGACCGUCCUGCUACCACUGACCA
rnacentral:sRNA from 1 species